rnacentral:lncRNA from 1 species
UUGCUUUUAAUCACACUACAUUUAUCUAUUAAUAAAAAUAUGUAGUACUAAAAUUGAAAAUUCCUUAAACAUAUGUUUAAACCAAGCUAAUAGCUUUGAAAAAUAUGUAAUUACAUGCUUUUACCAGUCAUUAAUGAAAAUCUGUCUUUUUCUUUUUCUUUUCCUAAAAACACCCUAAAGACAUGGCAUUUUUUUAGCUUUACAAGCAUCUUCAAACACGGCUUGGGCUAGUAUCAAUGAAGAAAAUUUCAAAGAAAACCAAAAUGACUAGUAAUUAAAAGAGCUUUUCAACCUAGUUGGGAUACCAUCCAACUCUCGUCAUAUGAUCACCAUAUCAGGGCCAACCUGCAGUGCCCUCAAGGGUCAGGACUCAAUUGUCCUAAGCAUUUCAUCAAGAAUGUCAUUCAUACAUCCUCUACUACCACUGCCAUCAAUAGUGUAAACAAGACUAACAAAUAGUAAUAAUCAAGAAAAAGAACAGAAAUUAGUGAUCAAAAUUAGUACAAAGGAUGGAGGCCAACAACAAUAUCAUAGCAAACUCUAUGCACGUAGGCUAAGGUAUCAAUCACCAGGCAGAGCUCGUGGAUACGCAAAAUAUUAUCAAAGACUGCUAAGUAAAAGUAAUCUCGAGACCAAACUUUAACAAGAAAAACAUAUCUCUAAGGUUGCCUGAAAAUGAACUCUCAUAUAAGAAAAACAUGUGACAACUACACAAACACGUCAUCAUAUAAAACUGGAAAAUUCAGCCUCACACAAUGGUAAAGAUCAAAUAGAUGUAUAAAUGCAUAUUUAAUCAACCAAAAAUACUAAGUCUGCAUUUCUUUGAUGCAUUAAUUACAAAGGGUUAUUAUUUGAUACACUUGUGGAGUUUUUUAACUCCUAGGAUAUGGUGCCCUUGGGGCUUUCUAUUUGAUUGUAUUGAAAGGCGCAAUGAAUUGGGAUUUCCCUAUUGGGCCGGGUCAUUUCAAGGCAUGCAGAUCAUUUAUGAUGAAAAGGAUGAGCUUCAAGAGAAUGAUUUAGCGUUCUUGCAGAGUGGAACCAUGCAUUACCAGACACGAGAUAGAUCUUCCAAAGAACAAGGCUUUUUUCGAAUAAGCCAAUUCAUUUGGGAUCUUGCGGAUCCACUCUUUUUCCCAUACAAAGAUCAGCCCUUUGUCUCUGUGUUUUCACACUGAGAAUUAUUUGCAGAUGAAGAGAUGUCAAAGGGGCUUCUUACUUCCCAAACAGAGCCUCCUAUAUCUAUAUAUAAAUGUUGGUUUAUCAAAAAUACGCAAGAAAAGCACUUCGAAUUAUUGAUUCAUCGCCUGAUAUGGCUUAGAACCAAUAGUUCAUUAUCCAAAGGAUUCUUCUGUCCUAAUACCCGAUCCGAGAGUUAUCAAUAUUUUAACUCUGCAAGCGGACUUAAGAAACUGCUAAGUGUCCUUAAUUGAUAUUUAAAAAAAAAACUAAAUAAACAAGACAUGUGGCAGUUUCUUAAGCCCUCUUGUGGAGUUAAAAAUCUCCACCGCCAAUGUAUCAAAUAAUAAUCCAAUUAAAAUUGCAAAUAACAGAGAUACUUUAACACAAGUAAGAUAUAUUUCUAAGACUUCCCAGAAAAGUAUGCUCAAAGGAAAAAGAAAAGUGAAUAAAAUACACAUAUAUACUUAUAGUUUGGCACUCUCUAUGGCAUUUAAUAAUGCCAGAAGUCAAAAGUAUAACCACCAUAUACAACUUUUUGGGGAAUAAAUUGGACUCUUUUGGAAAAGUGCAACUAAAAAGAACCCUCAGAUCUCAUAGCUUUGUCAAGAUCAUGUAAAGUUCAAAGUAAUCGCAUUCAUCAAUAGCUUUUCACACACCACCUUACCACCAAGAAAUAUCUAAUAUAUAUAUACAUACACACAAAACAUGUGUACAUAGAGAGAGAGAGAGAGAGAGAGAGUGAAAGUAGGUGGAGUGCAAAAGCCAGAGAUGAAUAGAGAACCAGAACAAUCCAAUCAAAAAUGAGUUUUCCAUCAUUGGGCAGAUAACAGCAACGGUAGAAUCACAAUGAAAUCCGAGACAUAAGUGUCUCCAACCCUACAUAACACAGUACAUAGGAAAACUAUGAUCUCCUUAGAAGGGUAUAUACGGAGAAAGCAAAAGGCACAAUGGUCACAAAGGCUCUAAUCAGAUUCAGAUACCAUAAAAGCCUAUAACAACAAUAUAAAAGGACGAUGUAAUGUCAUCAUUGUCAUAAUCAAACAACUCACUAUAUUCAUUCCAAUCUACAGCUUCAGAGUUCAGGGGUAAAAGUAAGCAGAAACAACAAACAAAGAAUACGCCAUAAAACAACUCAUCAUUGGCCACAUAUCAAAGCCUUUGAAAUUCAUAGAGCAUAUGUUAGGCAGAUGGGAAAAAAAGCACUGAAAGGUUUACUAAAGUAUCACAAGUUAACAAACAUGAAAAUUACACAUUGAGGUGUUGAACAGGAAAAAGGUUGACAAGAGUUUUUCAACAACUAAAUGUUUAACACUUCCAAAGCAGCAACUGAAAAUGAGGGAGAUAACAUGAUUGAUGGCCUAUGAAGUGAAUCAAUAAGAGAGAUGAUAAAAGUUCAAAACUGUCCCAAGCAUUUAAAUUAAUAAUAAAUAAGUUUUUAAAAAAGGCAGAGCUGUAUCUCAACUUUUGCACAAUUCUUAGAGAGGCUUUUGAUAAUUUCAUCUAACAACAAAAGACCAUGCAUUGUGAACUGUGAUUAAAAAUAAGAUAUAUUCAGUGAGAUUGACAAAAUCCUUAAGACUAAUGAAGCUAAAGGCUCAUACAAUCCAUCCCAGAGAGACCCUACUACGAAUCAGUAGCAUUACAUUUCCAUAUUAUCCUCAACAAAGGACAAAAUGGACAGCCUAAAAUAACCCCAUUAUAGAAAACUACUAAAUUACCAUGCAUACAACUAUGGGUAUGCAAGAGAAUGAUCGAGAUACAAAUUCUAUGCAGAAAAUAUAAAUAGCAUGUUACAUGUUACAUUACCCAACAAAAGGAUUCAAACGAAAAUAGUAUGAUCAAGAUACAAAUCCUGGUCCAUCUCGAAUAUUACAGUAGCUGGUGGUGGCGGCAAAAAAAAGAUACACAUGUACUUAAAGUAAAAUCAGAGGAAGAAGAAUCGUGAAAAAUAGACACACAUAUUUAUGGUUUGGCACUGUAUAUAGCAUUUAUUAAUGCCAGAAGUCAAAGGAUAAACACCAUACAAGGUUUUCUUUGGACUAAAUUGCCCUCUUUCGAAAAAGUGCAACUAAAUAGAGCCCUCAGAUCUCUCAUAGCUUUGUCAAGAUUAUGUACAGUUCACGGUAAAUUAAUUCAUCAAUAGCUUUUCACACACCACCUUACCACUAAAGAAAUACCUAGUAUAUAUAUAUACAUACACACAAACGUGUGUACGUAGACAGAAGAGGAGGAGGUGGAGGAGGAAGUAGGGAGAGACAGAGAGAGAAUGAAAGGAGGUGGAGUGCAAAAGCCAGAGAUGAAUCAAAAAACAGAACCAUCCAAUCAAAGAUGAGUUUUCCAUCAUUGGCAAAAUAACAGCAACAGUAGAACCACAAUGAAAACUAAGACAUAAGUGUUUAAAACCCUACAUAACAUCGCAGAGAGAAAAAAACUAUGAUCUCCUUGAAAGAGUACACAUUGAGAAAGCAAAAGGCAACAAGGCCACAAUGGCUCUAAUCAAUAUAAAAGGAGGAUGUAAUUCAAAGAAAGUAAAAUUCGCCCAGAUUUCAUUGUUUUUAUAAUUAAACGGUAGAGGAACCCAUUUCUCUCGAUCCAAUCUACAGCUUCGGAGUUCAGACAUAAAAGUAAACAGAAGCAACAAACAAAAGAACUACCCUACAUGACAGCUUCUCAUCAUUGGCCACAGAUCAAAACCUUUGAAAUUCAUCAAGCAAAUUUUACACAGACGCAAUCGAAGGCAUUGAAAGAUUCACUAGACGUACUUUCUUAAGUAUCACCAGACAACAAACAAGAAAAUGGUGGAACAAAAGGCAUCGAGUACAGAUGAGGGAGAUACUAUAAUUGAUGGCAUAUGAAGUUCAUCAAAAAAAUGAGAUGAUUGAAGUUCAAAAACUGCCCCAAAGCAAAUAUAUUAAGCAUUUAAACUAAUAAUAACAUUAAAGACAGCUAAUAUUUCAGUUUUAGCACAACUCUUAGAGAGGCUUUGAAUGAUUUCAUCUAGCAACAAAAGACCUUGCAUUGCAAACUAUGAUUGCAAAUAAGAUAUAUCCAGCGAGAUUGACAAAAUCCAGAAGAUCAAUGAAGCUAAAGACUCGUACAAACCAUCCCAGUGAGACCAUACUACUAAUCAGUAGCAUUAGAUGUUCAUAUUGUACUCGAGAAAGGAAAAAAAGAACAGCCUAAAAAAACCCAUUAUAGAAAACUACUAGAUUAUCAUGCAUUCAAGUAUGGGCAUGCAAGUGUAUGAUCGAGAUGCAAAUGAUAUACAGAAAACAUAAAUAGCAUGAUGAUACGUUACCCAAAGAAUGCAUUCAACCGAAAAUAACAUGAUCAAGAUACAAGUCCUAGUCCAUCUCCAAUAUUACCGUAGCUGGUGGCGGCGGCACAAAAGAGGAAAAAAACAGUAAUGAAGACGUAAGACAGGGAAAG